rnacentral:rRNA from 1 species
ACUCUGAGACAGGUGCUGCAUGGCUGUCGUCAGCUCGUGUUGUGAAAUGUUGGGUUAAGUCCCGCAACGAGCGCAACCCUUAUCCUUUGUUGCCAGCGGUUCGGCCGGGAACUCAAAGGAGACUGCCAGUGAUAAACUGGAGGAAGGUGGGGAUGACGUCAAGUCAUCAUGGCCCUUACGAGUAGGGCUACACACGUGCUACAAUGGCAUAUACAAAGAGAAGCGACCUCGCGAGAGCAAGCGGACCUCAUAAAGUAUGUCGUAGUCCGGAUUGGAGUCUGCAACUCGACUCCAUGAAGUCGGAAUCGCUAGUAAUCGUAGAUCAGAAUGCUACGGUGAAUAC